ensembl:snRNA U6 U6 spliceosomal RNA
GUGCUUGCUUUGGCAGCACACAUACUAAAAUUGGAACAAUACACAGAAGAUUAGCACGGCCCUUUCGCAAGGAUGACAUGAAAAUUCAUGAAACGUUCCAUACUUUU